rnacentral:sRNA from 1 species
GUUUUUACUAUACAAUAUUCCUAUAUGUAAACUCUAUUCAAAACAAAUAUUGCUACAUAAACUCUGUUCUGUCGAGUUGUUGCUUGUUGAGCCUUUAGAUUCAUUUUUCUUCGGAAUCUCCUGUCCUUUGGAGUUUGCAUGCUUGGUUGGUUCUUCUUGUGGCUCAUGUUUCUUGGUUUCAGCCCGACGUCAACCGUUACUUUGGGAUUGGUUGCAGGUUACGAUGUUUUGAGUUUCAGAUUUAGCUCUUAGGUUCCUUUUAGGCUUACCUUCUUGUACCUUUAUGUUUACGGUUUGUUUCCCUCUUUUGGGCUUAGGUUUCUGGAGAUAUUGUUGUCUUCCUCCGCCUUAGUUUCUGACAGAGUUUCGACUCUUGUCGUUGUUGUAUUUCAAAAAUGUAUUAUACCUUCGUAUAAUAUAAUGGAAUCAUUCAGUCGAAAAAA